UACGGGAGGCGACAGUAGGGAACAUUCCGCGAUGGGCGAAAGCCUGACGGAGCGACGCCGCGUGAGCGAUGAAGGUCUUCGGAUCGUAAAGCUCUGUUGUUAGGGAAGAACAAGUACCGGAGUAACUGCCGGUACCUUGACGGUACCUAACCAGAAAGCCCCGGCUAACUACGUGCCAGCAGCCGCGGUAAUA
rnacentral:rRNA from 1 species